rnacentral:rRNA from 1 species
UACGGAAUAUUGGUCAAUGGACGCAAGUCUGAACCAGCCAUGCCGCGUGAAGGAUGAAGGUCCUCUGGAUUGUAAACUUCUUUUAUCUGGGACGAAAACGGGAUUUUUAUCUCAAUUGACGGUACCAGAGGAAUAAGCACCGGCUAACUCCGUGCCAGCAGCCGCGGUAAUACGGAGGGUGCAAGCGUUAUCCGGAUCCACUGGGUUUAAAGGGUGCGUAGGUGGGUAUGUAAGUCAGUGGUGAAGUCCCCGAGCUUAACUUGGGAACUGCCAUUGAUACUAUAUAUCUUGAAUACCGUAGAGGUAAGCGGAAUAUGUCAUGUAGCGGUGAAAUGCUUAGAUAUGACAUGGAACACCAAUUGCGAAGGCAGCUUACUAUGCGGUGAUUGACACUGAGGCACGAAAGCGUGGGUAGCAAACA